AAGACUUGUCAGAUCCUAAGAAUGCUCUAUGUGCAAAGAAUAAAGAUGCUGCUUUGGCAUCAAAGCUAAUGGGCAACCAGUGCCAUGUCUAUGGAGAUUACACCAAAGCUCUGAGUUACUGCCAGAGAAUGGAAUCACUAGUGGCAAUGCCACUCUCUUACCAGCAUCCCUCUAUGGCUUUCGUGGGCAAAAGAAGAGCAAUUGCACGAGCAAGCAAUCUCUCUGACCAUUCACCUCUCCUCCAGGCAGCCAGGCAGACUGUGUGAUUUUCAUUGUGUCUAUUAUAUAUGCAUUUGAUACUUGCUCUGUUGAGGUCAUUAUUUUAUGCCUUAUAUGAACAAAAUAAUGGGUUUUCUGAGUAUCCCCAGGUGGACACAUAUAUAAAAAAUGGAUGGUUACUGGGUUAGGUUCUGGAAAUGCUUCUGCAAUGGCCACACAGUAUUUGGGUUACAAACUUCGUGCAGGUGCUUUGAAUGUUCUGUAAGCAGAGAAGGCAGGGAUUCCAUUGGAUCAAUACCAAGAAAGUUCCCAGAUCGGCAGCUGAAUCGGACAAGGUUUGGGACUUCUUUUGCCAUCCGAUUGACAAUCUGUCUUCUCCCGGUCCUGUUACCUGCCGUGAGAUUAGGUCCAGUGUCCUACCGUGCGAUUAGGCCCUGGUUUGAAGGUAUUGUUACCUCUUCAUACUUUUUAUGAAUGUAUGACAUUGAUUAGGAUAUUGGGAAGAUUGUGAUGACAUUUUUGGGUUAUUAUGUUCAAUUUUUUUCCUUUCUCCUUUCUUCCUUUCUGGUCACUUCCUAGUCUGUGAGUGGAUUUUAUUUCAAUGUCUAAAUGUUGUUUAUCGAGCUGUGAUAUCUGUUAAAUUGAUUUUCCAUCCGAUGAUAGUUUACUAAUUCUUCGAUUAGAUUGAUCUCAUUUUCUACUGCAAUAUUUUACUUAGUAGCCCUGAGCAGUAAGAACCAUUCGAAAGCAAGGAAAAGAAAUUAAAGGCAUUGCAUCUCCUCAACGACAUGAUUAUUUAUUCAUUUGGAAUUUUUUCGGUCUGUGAAAAUUGACAUGAUAUUUCAGACGUGCUGUAUUGCAAUUUUCGAGUGAAAAUCUAUGGAUUCAACUAUUUUAUCAACUUGGUCUGAGAUUUGGUUAGCUAUAUUGUGAGAGAGUCUUCACAACCUGUCCAAAUUUGGCUGCAUUCUUGCUAAUGACAACUUUAGAGAUGGUACAGACAGACUUUGAUGACAAGUAUGAGAAAAUAAGGAAACCAAAAUCGGUCAUUGAAAAAAGUAUGGCGUCCCUAUCCUCUGCUAUGCACAUUCAGUUUCUGGACUAAUCAUUUGUGUUCAGUCAUUUCUUGCCAUCUGAUCUUUGUUGGACUAUAUCUAUACUCAAUAUUUGGACGACUACAAAGAGAGUACAAAUAAGAUACUUCACCCUUGUGUGGAAUAAACUGGAAGCUAUAAACAAUGGAGAAUACAGUCCCUCUUCAUGCUUGCCAGGUUCACAAACUCCUUAUUCUCUUCAAUAGGGCACAUUUACUCCUUCACUUCAUUGCUUUAGCUUGCUUGGUCUACUACAGAGCUUUUAAUCUUUUCCACGAACCAGAAACAAGAACAGGCCCCAUCUUACCACGGCUACCAUCUCCUGCUGUUGUGGAAUUUGUUGGCAAAGUAAAUUCAAGGAGGAUGUUGAGCAUUCUAUGUGUAACAAAGUCCUCAGUUGUAAAUGUAAGUUGGUUUGUUUCUCAAGAUACUUUGCAUAUAUGAUAUAUGCAGAUCAUGUUGGGUGCCUCAAAAACAGAGGUUAUAAGUCUGAAUGCUAUCUUGAAACAAGGUGGUUCUGCAGCAGAAAAUGUGAAGAGAUUCUCUGUGAGUUCUGCUUCAACAUUUGCAACCCACUUCACAAACCCACGCAGCUACUGCGCUCUCUGUGAGUUUUGAUUGGUUUGGUGUACUUUUUAAUUUUCAUACCGAUUCUUUUCCAUUAACAUAUGUACGUCAAAAAUUAGAUAGCUCGGGCAUGAUGCAUCCUUUUGUUUGUCAUGAUUAUGUUAUGGAUUCUAAAGAUCUACUUGUGUAAGUAGGUUUGACCAGAAAAUGCAAGAUGUUGCAGGAUUGAGGCUUUGGAGCCUCUUGGAAUUUACUUGCCGGGUGAUAUUAAUUAUCUGGGAGGAGCACUUUUUGAUCUGUUGAACUUCACGAAAGACCCAGUAGCUUUUGAGGAGCUGAAGGUGAAAGAGAUUAGGAAUGAAUACUUAGCCAUUUGGUUGCCUGGUUAGGGUUUUAUGUACAAGCGGCUUUGACAGGUGAAAGUCCUCUGCAGAAUCUUAUGGGACAUUUAUCAGAUCCAUUUCACAAUAAUUUGUUUUCUUACCUUUUCCCUUGAAUUUCUAGGGUUAAAACUGCGUGCUGUCUAUUACUUAUCUAUAGAACUUCUUCCUUGCUAGUUUUCCUCUCAUUUUGGCCUCUUGUAGCAGUAGAGGGAGAGAUCAGAGGCAGCAAAACAGAGCAUUUGUUGUCAGCUGGCUACACGGAUAUACACCUCACUCAACUCGCUUUCGUUCUUCUUGGUGUAAUGGAUGUGUUCUAUGUCCUGUUUUGUUUCGCCAGCGUAUAGUUUUGUUAGGUUCCUCAGUUGCUCUCUUUGCGAAAAACAACUCAGUCAAUAACUGAUGCAUGAAUCGAAACAUGGGAACCCAAAAUUAUUGACCAGGAAAUUGAAGAGUGCGGCUUCAAUUCGGUGCAUGCAUCUUCACAUGGACGCUGGCUGUGUUUGGUUCGUCAUUGGCUCAGUCAAUGCUGAGUAAUUCAUCCACUACUACUGUAUGCUUUCCUUUAUAGAGACAUGCAUCCAAGUUAAAUGAAUUAAGUAAUUAACAACCAAUUUGCCUUAAGAAGUCAACUAAUUAAUCAACCUUGGUUAGGCACAAUUGUUGGAUUAUUAGUCUUUUGAUCAAAGGAAACUGGUGAGUGAUAAUUACUCUUGAGAUCAUCUUUUUUGUGCUUAUUUCUUUCUGCGUUUUCAUUGGUUGCCUAAGAAAACUAUUUGCAUGCGGUGUUUAUUUUUGUUCGGUGUGUGCUGGGGUCUCUGAGUUCUAUUCUUAUUUCUUUUCCUCUUAUAGGUUUAUAUUCUUAUUAUUUUACUGGGUUAUAAUUUCUGUGAUGAUAAUUUUAAGAUUGAAAUAUUUGUAAGAACAUUUUUGUAAAAUUUUUAUGGUGACAAAUCAAACUGAAUAAAACUACUCAAGACUUUUAAAUCGAAUUGUUAAGGAGUGGAAUCCCAUUUUGAUCUGAAUGUGCAUCUGUCUUGAGAGUUUCAAGUUUCAGAUUCAUUAUGAGGUUGGCUGAUAUUUGUGCAUACAUCCUCUUCGUAAUAGUUACGGGAAAAGAAGUUUGGACUUGGAGUUUCAUUUGGUUCACUACAAUUUUGUGGCUUCCUCUUUUCAGCAAGUUGCAAGUGGUUUACACUCCGGUUUGUUCUGGUUUUGGCUGAAAACCUUGAGAGUGAAUUACCAGCAUGUGUGACUGACUACAAGCAUGGUUUCAUGAAGCAAAUACACGAAGAUUUUUUUUAUUUGCUGAAUUAUGUUGUUCAUCCGGAAUUUAUAAAUAGUUUUUGGGUUGUGAAUGAGGAUAUUCAAUUUACCCCGGGUGAAAUAUAACUUUUUCAGAUUUUACUCUGGUAAGGUUCAUGUCUGGAGCUGCAAUCCUUGUGUCUCUACAACAGUUCAAACAAUUGUUUUGAGAUUGCUCAUUUCAGGCGAAAAAUGCAGAUCACCCAUUCCUUCAUAUGUUUUCUAUUGAGCUGUUGUAACCAAUUUUUACUGAGCAAAAGAAAUCAUUCCAUUUUCUGUCGUCAUUGGGCUUCCAGAUUCACUGCCUGUAGUACUGAGACCAAAUAUAAGGACUUUUACGGUACCAAAAAGAGUCCUUAAAUCUCACUUCAGCUUUUUCUGGCAUGCAUAUGCGUUUGUGAUCAUUGAUCAAGUAAGCUAAACGAGGUUUAUAUGUUCCCGUGACAAAUUUGGUCGCUGUUACACCCCUUUGCUUCCAACUGUGGUUCACUACUUCACUGUGCUCUUGCGCUCCUAUUCAGUGAGUGGACUUUCUGCUGCUGUUAUUCGAUAAUUUCCUUUUUCUCCGUCUUCUCUUUUCCCGACUCACUCCUUCCAUCCACACCCUUGCCGGACAGAUGGUUGACUAAUUGUUUAUCCUCCACAUUAGUAUUUCCUGGACUUUGAUAAAUUACUUACCAACUCGGUGUUCCAUGUCAAAGCGUCUUAGUAAGGUAGUUUGAUUAUGAUUUUGGGUUGGUCUUCGCUGAUUGUCCUCUCUUUUCAUAUGCGGUUAUCUUUUGGAUUUGUCGGAUUUUGGUCCCAAGAAAAAAGACCCUUCUUGAUUACUAAUUUGUUUUAAAGUGUCGCCUAGAUGUUCAAAAAGGACAUUGAAACCAACUGCUUUUGUUUCUUUGAUCAUCAUCAUAUGUUAUUAAGUUGAAAGAAAUUUUAUUAAGUUGAUAAUUGCUCAUGACGAAAGAAUUGCAGACGGAGGAGCAGAAGAGAAGGAUCGCAUAGGUAAACAAGGAAUUGUAGAAGGUGACCUAAGGGGGAAUUAGUCGAAAAUAUAAGAAAACAAGUUUAAAGAACCAAGAUCAUCUUGCUUGUUUAUGUUAAAGACUUUCUAAUUCUGAACAUGGUUCUUUAACACAUUGAUGUUAUGUAUGCGUUCAUGCUAUACCCGGAAAUAGGUCUGUUGCAGGAGUGUCUGCGAGAUUGUAAUCAAGCUCUUCAAAUUUCUCCAAGGUAUGCAAAGGUAAAUAUGGAAUAUGAUGUUGCUUAAUUUGGAUUUGCUA